rnacentral:rRNA from 1 species
CACGUAGGGGCCGAGCGUUGUCCGGAGUUACUGGGCGUAAAGGGCGCGUAGGCGGCCACGUACAUCUCUGGUGAAAGCCCCGGGCUCAACCCGGGAGGGUCCAGGGAGAUGGCGUGGCUGGAGGCAGGGCGAGGGCGGUGGAAUUCCGGGUGUAGUGGUGAAAUGCGUAGAGAUCCGGAGGAACACCAGUGGCGAAGGCGGCCGCCUGGACCUGACCUGACGCUGAGGCGCGAAGGCGUGGGGAGCGAACGGGG